AAUUCUUUGCUUUUGUGAUAGAUACAUAUGUUGAACAUUGUAUCUAGUGGUCUUGUUGAUUCAUGGAUGCGGAUAUUUGGAGAAUCAAAACCAUUCGAAGAUGAAGAAAUGAUGAAUGUCCGACAAUGUUGUGCAAACUUGAUUCUUGAACUAAUAGAAAAUGCUUGAAGCACUUGUAUCAUUUUAGUAUCUUUAGACUGUUAAUAGAAGAUAAUGUUUCUUUUUUUUAACUAGUGACUAUUAUGUAGCUCUAAAUUUGAUAAUUUAGAUUUUGUAAAAAAAUUAUGACUCAUUGUCAUUGAUUUUUGAAUGUAAAGCUUCGUAUGAAGUUUUGUGUUAUAUGGUUGAA